UACGAAGGGGGCUAGCGUUGUUCGGAAUUACUGGGCGUAAAGCGCACGUAGGCGGGUUGUUAAGUCAGGGGUUAAAUCCCGGAGCUCAACUCCGGAACUGCCUUUGAUACUGGCAAUCUAGAGACUGGAAGAGGUUAUUGGAAUUCCCAGUGUAGAGGUGAAAUUCGUAGAUAUUGGGAAGAACACCAGUGGCGAAGGCGGCUAACUGGUCCAGUACUGACGCUGAGGUGCGAAAGCGUGGGGAGCAAACAGG
rnacentral:rRNA from 1 species